rnacentral:rRNA from 1 species
GACGAACGCUGGCGGCAUGCCUAAUACAUGCAAGUCGAACGAGAGAUAUUGAGAAGCUUGCUUCUUAAUUGAUCUAGUGGCGAACGGGUGAGUAAUACAUGAAUAAUCUGCCUAUCAGUCUGGGAUAACUACUGGAAACAGUUUGUAAUACCGGAUGUGCACUCAAGAGGCAUCUCUUGAACUGUAAAGUUUAGAUACGCUGAUAGAUGAGUUCAUGGCGCAUUAGCUAGUUGGUAAGGUAACGGCUUACCAAGGCGAUGAUGCGUAGCCGACCUGAGAGGGUGACCGGCCACACUGGGACUGAGACACGGCCCAGACUCCUACGGGAGCAGCAGUAGGGAAUUUUCGGCAAUGGGCGAAAGCCUGACCGAGCGAUGCCGCGUGAGUGAUGAAGGCCUACGGGUUGUAAACUCUGUUGUAAAGGAGAACAAUCAGGAUAGAGUCCUGACUUGACGG